GCACGCCUCAAAACAAUUGAGGAAAAUCAGCGGCUGAUGGUAAACCUACUACAAUCUGUAGCUUCUGCUGUAGGUUCAGGAGGGGAGGGUGUAGAUGAUGUUUUGCCAGCCCCAGUACGCAGUUUAGAGGUGCUGGAUGACUCGUGUACUAAGUUAACUGAUGAAACAUUCAAAAAGAAAUUGACACUGUAUUUGUCAUCAUUAGGAGGGCAUAGCCUUGGAGAGACAGUUCAUAGGAUUAAAAAGGUUGGAAGCAAUAGUGAGUGGUCCUCAUAUAGUCUAAAGGGAAGAAAAGGAAAGCUACCAUUUACUGAUCUUCCUAUCUGCAAAGUUGUCAUCAGAGCAUGCUUAAGAAACUACAGAAAGGCAAAAUUAUCCGAAGUGGAAGACGAAAUAAGUGAAGCCCUGAAGCAUGCCCCUAAAAGACAAGGUGGCCUAAAGUACAAG